ensembl:lncRNA
GGGGCAGUUGUUCCCCCCCUCUCAGACCAUGAACCGAAGAUGUCACCAAGGCCUCAGCACCGUGGGGGGCACAGGGUGGAGGCCGGAGCCGGUGGCCGCCCUCGCCAGCGAUUCGGAGGACGAUGAGCUGCCCUGGCGCCCUGCCCUCAGAGGUGCUGCCUCACCCCGAGUUGUGCCGGAGAGUGAUCUGGAGGAGCCAGAUGUGCACCCAGAUGUUCAGAGGCCUCGAAAACGCUGCCGUGCCCCUACGUGGGGCCACCUCCCAGAUGUGGCCAAACCCUGCCCAGAUCCAAACGUCGGAGGACCCAAAAAGCGCCGGUUUGGCCCCCAAGCUGCCCCAGAUCCAGAUGUGGGGAAAAAAACAGCUACUCCAAGUGUUCAGACCCCAAAUCACCCUCCGAACCCUGGAAAGGUGGCGGGUCCAGAUGCUGAUCCAGAUGCAGAACAUCUAGAAGGCACCAACACACGUCUCGAUGUCAAAAGUGAUACAGCUGUGGAGGUGCUCCCCAAAUCUGCCUUUUUUCACUCAAGUAGCUGUGACCAGGCCGCCCUGGAGGUCAGCAGUGACACAGAUGUGGAGAAAAAGGGCUCGAAUCCAGAUGUUGGAGGUGCCAAAAAUGAAUGUCAGAUGCUUGUGGUGGACAGCGACACAGAUGUAGAAGAAGCUGAGUUUUGCCCCGACGUUGCGAGAACAAAAAUACAGCAAAUGGCCCAAAAUGUGACUAAAACCUCAGGUGUGGAGUUGGAGCCCCGGAAUCCAGAUGUUGGGGGUCCCAAAAAUGGAUGUCGGACACUUUUGGGGGACAGUGAUACAGAUGUGGAGAUGGAGAGCUCAAACUCAGCUGUCGAAGGGACACAAAAUCAGAUGCUCACUGUGGACAGCGAUACAGAUGUGGAGGAGGAUAGAGCCUAUCCAGAUGUUGGACGCUCCCAAACCCAUCAAACAACCCAAAAUGUACCAAAAACCCACAAUAUUGAGAUGGAGACUCCCCAUGCAGAUGUUGGAGGUUCACAAAAGGGACAUCGGGUGCUCAUAGAGGACAGCGAUACAGAUGUGGAGGAGAAUGAAGCCAAUCCAGAUGUUGGAUACUCUAAAACCCACCAAAGAACCCCAAACACACCCAAAUCCCAAAUUAUUACGACAGAGACACAAAAUGCAGAUGUUGAAAGUUCGCAAAAGGCUCGUGACACGCUCGUGGUGGACAGUGAUACAGAUGUGGAGGAGGAUGCUUCCAAUCCAGAUGUGUGUCCAAAAAGCCCUGGAACAGCCCCCAGAGACCCAGAUGUUAAGGUCGAGACCAUAAAUCGCAAUGUUGAAGGGCGACAGAUUCUCCUGGUGGAGAGUGAUACAGAUGUGGAAGAUGACACUUCCAAUCCAGAUGUUUGUACUCUAAAAAGCCAUCAAGCAACUCAAAAUGUACCAAGAAACUCACAUCUGGAGACGGACGGCCUGAAUCCACGUGUUGUAAGACCACAAAACAACCGUUAUACACUUGUGGUGGACAGUGAUACAGAUGUGGAGGAGAAUGAGGUGGAUCCAGAUGUUGAGCUACCAAAAUCCCACAGAACUGCCCAGCGAAGCCCAGAUGUAAAGAUUAAAACCUCAAAUCCAGAUGUGAAAGAAGCCCAGAAUGAACAUCAGAAUCUGGAGGUGGACAGUGACACCGAUGUGGAAGAAGACAACCUGAGUCAAGACGUUCUUCACCCAAAAAGCCACAAAACACCCCAAAACACCCGGAAGGACCCAACAGUGGUGAUGGAGACCCCGAAUCCAGAUGUUGGGGGCCUCAGCCACAGCUCGGUGGCCUCCAGUGGUGACAGCGAUACAGAUGUGGAGGACCUCAACCCCCUUCCCGACGCUGGAGCUCCGGAACCACACGCAGCAGCCCGUGAGGUCCCAGAUCCAGUUGCCAAGAUGGCCACUGCACCAGAUGUUGACCCCAAGGGGCAGACAAGGACCAAUGACGAUCCAGAUGUGAAGACCUCAUUUCCAAAUCCGGAUGUUGACACCCUCAAGGCCCAGUGCCCAGUCCCGAAUGCAGACAACGAUACAAUCGCUGGGCGCAACGGUGUUGUUCCAGAUGUUGGGGUGGUGCAGGCAUGUCAAGGGGACCCAGAUGUGAUGGCGACGCCCCCAAAUCCAGAUGUUCCCCUUCCCCUGAGCCCCCGGGAUAGCAGCGACGCUGACGUGGAGGAGGUGGCCCCCACUCCAGCUGUUCGGGGCCUCCGGAGCCGAAUCCGAUUCCAAAAUCACCCCCAUCCAGAUGUUGCAUCUCCCACCCCAGGCAACGAUACCGAUGCGGACCCAAAACGCUGCAAAUUGUCCCCAAAAAGGCAGGAUUUUCCUCCCGAAGCUGAGCGCGAUGCGGAUGCGGAAAAGUUGUUCCCAACCCAUCCCGUCGUAGCCCUAAAUCCAGAUGUGGAGCCCUCGCCUCCAGAUGUUGGGCCCCAGCGCCGCAGUGGGAAGACCCCGGCCGGGGGCAGGGAUCCAGCUGUGCCACCAGAUGUUUUCACCCCUAAAUCCCCCCGUUUGGACCCAAAUCGAUGCGUCGGCGCUGGUGGUGGAUCCGGGAGCGCCGGGGCCACGGGUGCAGCGGUGACAGAGAGUGACACCGAGGGUAAGUGA